rnacentral:tRNA from 1 species
GGUCUUAUAAUCUGAAAGAUUUAAAAUUGCAAAUUUUAAUAUAUAAAUAUUUAUUAAGACUU